rnacentral:rRNA from 1 species
CUUGAGCGUUGACGUUACCUACAGAAGAAGCACUGGCUAACUCUGUGCCAGCAGCCGCGGUAAUACAGAGAGUGCGAGCGUUAAUCGGAAUCAUUGGGCGUAAAGCGCGCGUAGGUGGAUAUUUAAGUCGGAUGUGAAAGCCCUGGGCUUAACCUAGGAAUUGCAUCCGAUACUGGGUAUCUUGAGUAUGGUAGAGGGGAGUGGAAUUUCCGGUGUAGCGGUGAAAUGCGUAGAUAUCGGAAGGAACAUCAGUGGCGAAGGCGGCUUCCUGGACCAAUACUGACACUGAGGUGCGAAAGCGUGGGGAGCAAACAGGAUUAGAGACCCUGGUAGUCCACGCCGUCAACGAUGAGAACUAGCUGUUGGGGAGUUUACUUUCUAGUAGCGAAGCUAACGCGUUAAGUUCUCCGCCUGGGGAGUACGGCCGCAAGGUUAAAACUCAAAGAAAUUGACGGGGGCCCGCACAAGCGGUGGAGCAUGUGGUUU